ensembl:lncRNA
CUGUGUUCUUGGGGACGUUCAAUGCUGCAGACAUUUUUUGGUACCCUUCCCCAGAUCUGUGCCUAGACACAAUACUGUCUACGGACAAUUCCUUCGACCUCAUGGCUUGUUUUUUGGUCUGACAUGGACUGUCAACUGUGCAACCUUAUAUAGACAGGUGUGUGCCUUUCCAAAUCAUGUCCAAUUAAUUGGAUUUACCACAGGUGGACUCCAAUUAAGUUGUAGAAACAUCUCAAGGAUGAUCAACGGAAACAGGAUGCACCUGAGCUCAAUCAAGUCUCAUAGCAAAGGGUCUGAAUACUUAUGUAAGUAAGGUAUUUCUGUUUCAUAUGUUUAAUACAUUAGCCAAAAUUUCUAAAAACCUGUUUUUCACUUUGUCAUUAUGGGGUAUUGUGUGUAGAUUGAUGAGGAAAAAACUGUAUUUAAUCAAUUUUAGGAUAAGGCUGGAACGUAACAAAAUGUGGAAAAAGGGAAGGGGUUUGAAUAGUUUCAGGAUGCACUGUAUGUACCAGUAUUAUAUCUAUUUUCUUUAGAUAGCUACACAUUACCUUGUUACUUUUAGAGGCUGUUGCUGUUUUUUUUUUUUUUUACUAUUAUCUGUAGAGCAUGAUAUUACAGUAUAAUAUUGGUAUCAGAUACACCAUUCAGGAGAUAGCUCAGGAAAUGUCUGAAUUGUGAUUCCUUUUACAGUAUUAUUAUAGGCAAGGAGCCUUGUUGUUUUGUUUCUGUUUAAUUGAUUAAGUCCAUGCCUUGAUGGCUAUUUUGUAAAUGUUAUAUUUUUAAAUACCAUUGCUUGUGCAUACCUCAUAGAAUAAAAAUAACUCUUUAAGACUAAUUUUUUUUAUUUGAUUUGCAAUGCUAAUAUGCCAUAUUUUCUAUAUUUGCACUUUUCCGCAGUUGUCUCUUUCCCUCUUCCUGUUGAGGGUGUCUUUGCAUAUCACCCCUAAUAUGUUUCUGCUUUUAUUUAUUUGUUUUGGUCACUUCUGCCAUACAUAGACUUGGUUAUUUGGUUUGUCAGAGGUGUACUUUGUAAAUGCAACCCAACAACAUGUGCCUUAAAUUGUCAUAAAAUUCCAAUCCUCAGACAAAUAAAGAGUUAUGUCCAUGGA